UUUCUACUUGAUUUUCUGUUUUC
rnacentral:siRNA from 1 species